rnacentral:rRNA from 1 species
CGUGAUUUAAUUUUAUUUAUUUAUUUUUUUUUUCUCCUCUCUUUUCUUUAUUUUUAUAGGGGAGGGGGAGAAAAAGCGCCCCCGGAAGGAAAAAAAUAUUUUGGGGGUUUUUACCACCCCUCUUUAAAAUUGUUUUCUAUUUUUUAAAAAAAACUAUUUUUUUUUUUUUAGAAUUUAAAAGGGUUUCCGGGGUUUGGAGAAGGGGAGUUUCGGGUUUUUUUUUUAAGUUUUGUAGGGGGAGGGGAAAGGGGUUUCAGGUUUGGAAUUACGAAAAAGUAGGGGGGCCCUUGGAGAGGGGGGACCCCCCCCAACCGGGUUAUUUAAGACCCGGGGCCCAGGCUUCCUCCGGGGGAGGCACCAGUAAAGGAAUUUUGGUCCAAUGGGCCGAAAAUUCUGAACCCAGGCCAUGCCCGCGGGCCAAGGAGGAAUUCCCCUAUGGGGUUGUAAACUUGCUUUUUAUACAAGGAAGAAAAAACUUUCUUGUUGAGAAAACCUUGACGGUACUGUAAAGAAUAAGGGAUCGGGCUAACUCCGUGCCCAGCAGCCGCCGUUAAUACGGAGGGAUCCAAGCGUUAUCCCGGAAUUAUUGGGUUUAAAAGGGUCCGUAGGUGGAUAAUUAAGUCAGAGGUGAAAUCCUGCAGCUUAACUGUAGAAUUGCCUUUGAUACUGGUUAUCUUGAGUUAUUAUGAAGUGAUUAGAAUGUGUAGUGUAGCGGUGAAAUGCAUAGAUAUUACACAGAAUACCAAUUGCGAAGGCAGGUCACUAAUAAUCAACUGACACUGAGGGACGAAAGCGUGGGUAGCGAACAGGAUUAGAUACCCUGGUAGUCCACGCCGUAAACGAUGGUCACUAGCUGUUUGGACUUCGGUCUGAGUGGCUAAGCGAAAGUGAUAAGUGACCCACCUGGGGAGUACGUUCGCAAGAAUGAAACUCAAAGGAAUUGACGGGGGCCCGCACAAGCGGUGGAGCAUGUGGUUUAAUUCGAUGAUACGCGAGGAACCUUACCAGGGCUUAAAUGUUUGGUGACAGAUCUAGAAAUAGGUUUUUCUUCGGACACUAAACAAGGUGCUGCAUGGUUGUCGUCAGCUCGUGCCGUGAGGUGUCAGGUUAAGUCCUAUAACGAGCGCAACCCCUGUUGUUAGUUGCCAGCGAGUAAUGUCGGGAACUCUAACAAGACUGCCAGUGCAAACUGUGAGGAAGGUGGGGAUGACGUCAAAUCAUCACGGCCCUUAUGUCCUGGGCUACACACGUGCUACAAUGGUAGGUACAGAGAGCAGCCAAUGCGCGAGCAUGAGCAAAUCUAUAAAACCUAUCUCAGUUCGGAUCGAAGGCUGCAACUCGACUCCGUGAAGCUGGAAUCGCUAGUAAUCGGAUAUCAGCAAUGUCCGUGUAUUCGCCCCC